rnacentral:pre_miRNA from 1 species
CAUGCACUGGUGGGGUCCCUCGGCCUGGCCUGCGCCCUCUCACAAUCUGGGAUCCCUCAGGGGAAGUCGGAGAGCCAGUUUUAGCCCCAUCCUGCAGGCCAGGCCGAGGGACCCCACUGGUGCACA